UGGGGUCGGUGUUGUCUGACA
rnacentral:misc_RNA from 1 species